GAUGAACGCUAGCGGCAGGCUUAAUACAUGCAAGUCGUACGGGAUCCGAGGUAGCAAUACUUUGGUGAGAGUGGCGCACGGGUGCGUAACACGUAUGCAACCUACCUUUAACCGGGACACAACCUCGAGAAAUUGAGGCUAAUAUCCCAUAACACUGCGAGAUGGCAUCAUUUUGCAGUUAAAACUCCGGUGGUUAUUGAUGGGCAUGCGCGACAUUAGCUAGUUGGUAAGGUAACGGCUUACCAAGGCUUUGAUGUUUAGGGGUCCUGAGAGGGUGAUCCCCCACACUGGUACUGAGACACGGACCAGACUCCUACGGGUGGCAG
rnacentral:rRNA from 1 species